UACCCCCGGGAAACUGGGGAUAAUUCCGGAUAGAUCAUCGAUGCUGGAAUGCGCUUGAUCCAAAGCUAUUGUGCCUAAGGAUGGGUCUGCGGUCUAUCAGGUUGUAGUGGGUGUAAUGUACCUACUAGCCUACGACGGAUACGGGUUGUGGGAGCAAGAGCUCGGAGAUGGAUUCUGAGACAUGAAUCCAGGCCCUACGGGGCGCAGCAGGCGCGAAAACUUUACAAUGCGGGAAACCGCGAUAAGGGGACACCGAGUGCCAGCAUCCUAUGUUGGCUGUCCAUAUGUCUAAAUCACAUGUGUUAGCAAGGGCCGGGCAAGACCGGUGCCAGCCGCCGCGGUAACACCGGCGGCCCGAGUGGUGGCCACUAUUAUUGGGUCUAAAGGGUCCGUAGCCGGUUUGGUCAGUCUUCCGGGAAAUCUGACGGCUCAACCGUUAGGCUUUCGGGGGAUACUACCAGGCUUGGGACCGGGAGAGGUAAGAGGUACUACGGGGGUAGGAGUGAAAUCUUGUAAUCCCUGUGGGACCACCAGUGGCGAAGGCGUCUCACCAGAACGGACCUGACGGCAAGGGACGAAAGCUAGGGGCACGAACCGGAUUAGAUACCCGGGUAGUCCUAGCCGUAAACGAUACUCGCUAGGUGUCGGCCACGGUGCGACCGUUGUCGGUGCCGUAGGGAAGCCGUGAAGCGAGCCACCUGGGAAGUACGGCCGCAAGGCUGAAACUUAAAGGAAUUGGCGGGGGAGCACCACAACAGGUGGAGCCUGCGGUUUAAUUGGAUUCAACGCCGGG
rnacentral:rRNA from 1 species